rnacentral:lncRNA from 1 species
AUGGCGGCGCCCGGGCGAUUGUUUUUGUUUCCUCUCCUGGCUCCCCUCCCCCGCUUCUCCCAAUCACGGCGGCCUGUCGCGCGACUUGGUGCGUGCGCGAGUCGUCCCCAAUUGACAGCCCUCGGAACCACUCUGGGCGGAGCACAAGACCUCGCCUUGCCAGCUGGGGCGGGGCGCUGGCGCCCCUAUGCGCGAGGAGAAACGCUCCCGCGCCUCGUACCUGCGCGCGCCCCCUUCCUUGGGUCAAUCAAUCUGAUAAGCAUUUUAAUGGAUCUUUCCCUGUGUUAUGUGAGCAUGCAAGAUAUAGUACCGGGGACUUGUGCUUCUACACAGAGUUUACCCAGUUAUGCAGGAGGAGCAGCAGCAGCAGCAUGAAAUGUAUCUGAUCAUACCUAGUUUUGUUCUUCUGUUCCUGUUGGGGAGCACUUUUUCUGGAGACGAGCGUGGAUAACACUUUUCAUUCCUUCUGAGGAAAUAAGGAGAACAAUGGGAAAACGAGCUGUCUCCUUUUUCCACAACAGAGCACUCAUAACAGGAGCACAGAAGAUUUCAACUGUGCCUCUGCGGCUUCUACACUUAUCACUGAACAAGCAUUAUGUACUCAGGAGCAGCAGCAUAUGCAGGAUCCUGUGCUGCAAAAUUAAUUUACAGUCUCCACAGAGGUAUUUCUAAGAUGUGGUGGGAAACAUGGGGCUCCUGUGAUUUUUGUAUUGAAUUUCAAUCCAAGAUUUAUUAUCUGAUUAAUCCAAUAAUUCAGAGGGUUAUAUCUUCCCCUCACUGUGUGAAAUUCUUAAUGUUAGAUUCUGAAGAAAUGAGAAACAAAUUUCAGUGACUUUUGGUGAAAAAAGAUAAAUGGUCUAAACAGCAGGAAUUAAUCCCACUUCCAAGUCAUUUCCCUCACACCAGCCAAGCACGAGACUAUUUAGCCUCUAGUGAUGCUGAAAUACAAAUACAAGAGGCCUGCUUUGUUUUUCCUCACUAUUAUAUUUUUUUUAAAGUAACCUGAAAUGUUCCUAAUUUGACCUAUGAUUCAUGAAUUCUAAAUUAUUUGUAUGAAAAAUUGGAUUUUUGUCAAAAAAUAUCUGUUUUGAAUAUAUAGAUAAAAAUAAAAACAAAAAUAGGCUGAAACGCUAGCCUCUG